rnacentral:rRNA from 1 species
GAAUGGCGUAAUGAUGGCCAGGCUGUCUCCACCCGAGACUCAGUGAAAUUGAACUCGCUGUGAAGAUGCAGUGUACCCGCGGCAAGACGGAAAGACCCCGUGAACCUUUACUAUAGCUUGACACUGAACAUUGAGCCUUGAUGUGUAGGAUAGGUGGGAGGCUUUGAAGUGUGGACGCCAGUCUGCAUGGAGCCGGCCUUGAAAUACCACCCUUUAAUGUUUGAUGUUCUAACGUGGACCCGUGAUCCGGGUUGCGGACAGUGUCUGGUGGGUAGUUUGACUGGGGCGGUCUCCUCCUAAAGAGUAACGGAGGAGCACGAAGGUUGGCUAAUCCUGGUCGGACAUCAGGAGGUUAGUGCAAUGGCAUAAGCCAGCUUGACUGCGAGCGUGACGGCGCGAGCAGGUGCGAA